GUCCCUAAUCAGAGUUGUUUUUUCUCAUUCAUCUCCUCAAAUGGUUGAUCUUCCUUCUUUCCUUUUUGUCAUUUCUCAAUCAAACACACAAAAAAGGCUCUUUCUUUUAGCUGAGUUGGGUUGAUUGCGUAGAAAGAAGACAUGGAAAAGGUAAGAGAUUUGAAGGAAAGGUAACAAUUGUGAUAGCUUGCACUAAGGAAAUUGGCCAUGCUAUUGCACAUAGACUUAUUUGAGAGUGCAUCUGUUGUCAUCUCUUCUAGCAAGCAGGUUACUUCAUCCUUCAACAUCCUAGAAGCACAAGAAAGAGGGCACAAAGAAUAGGAGUAAACCAAUUGUUAGACUAUGAUACUUUAACACCAGUGGGGUGUUUUACUUCCACGCCAUCAUUGCAGCAACAAGCAGCACAAAGAAUGGAACCUGCAAAAACAGAGAUGCCCUUGCCUCGUGCAAUGUCAAACUGGCACACAUCACAUACUAAAAUGAAAUAUUUGAGUCUUGAGUUGUCAUGUGUCCUAAUCUGCAAGGCAUGCCAAGUAUUCAACAUUUAUGAACAAGGAAUGUCUAUAUUAUAUGGAAUGUGAAUAACUCAGUGAAAGCUUGGCUUAUUUUGUAUUUCCAACAGCUUAUAAACAAACACUUUCAGAUAGAA